GUGCCAGCCGCCGCGGUAAUACGUAGGUGGCGAGCGUUGUCCGGAAUUACUGGGCGUAAAGGGCGUGUAGGCGGCUGGGUAAGUCAGGUGUGAAAACUCUUGGCUCAACCAAGAGACUGCACCUGAAACUGCCUAGCUUGAGGGUAGGAGAGGAAAGUGGAAUUCCUAGUGUAGCGGUGAAAUGCGUAGAUAUUAGGAGGAACACCAGUGGCGAAGGCGACUUUCUGGCCUAACCCUGACGCUGAGGCGCGAAAGCGUGGGGAGCAAACAGGAUUAGAUACCCUGGUAGUCCACGCCGUAAACGAUGGGUACUAGGUGUAGGAGGUAUCGACCCCUUCUGUGCCGCAGCAAACGCAUUAAGUACCCCGCCUGGGGAGUACGGCCGCAAGGCUGAAACUUAAAUGAAUUGACGG
rnacentral:rRNA from 1 species